rnacentral:rRNA from 1 species
GUAUAGGGGGUGAAUUCUGCCCAAUGGUUGUACAGUGAAACUGAGGACUAACGUCUAAAGCGAAACCCAACUGAAUGGCCGCGGUAACUUUGACCGUGAUAAUGUAGCACAAUAAAUAGCCAAUUAAUUGUUGGCGGGUAUGAAUGGAACCACGAGGGUCUUACUGUCUCAAGAGGAAAGCCGGUGAAAUUAUAGUUGUAGUGAAGAUACUACAUAAACAUUAUAAGACGAAAAGACCCUAUCGAGCUUUACUGGAUACCGAUAGCGUUAACUUAAAAUAAUCGAUACUAAAGUAUCCUAAUUUUAAGUUAAUAAUUUUUUUUUGGUAAGACAGUUUAGUUGGGGCGACUACCUUUGAAUAAGAAACGAAGGCGAGCUUAUGGUAUACAAAGCUAAUCUCAUUAGCCUGACAGUAAGGGGGACACCCCUAGCUGGCACAAGGAUGUAGUCCUAUGUGGGCGAUAAUGACCCGAUAUGCUUGUCCAAAAUAAAUAUCGAAAGCGGAUAAAAGCUACCGUAGGGAUAACAGCGUAAUAUUGUCGGAGAGUUCUUAUCGAGGACAGUGUUUGCGACCUCGAUGUUGAAUUGCGGUGCCCUGGUGCUGUAGAAGGUGCCUUAGGUUGGUC